CUGAGGAAGGAUCAUCA
rnacentral:rRNA from 1 species